UACAGAGGUCCCAAGCGUUGUUCGGAUUCACUGGGCGUAAAGGGUGCGUAGGUGGUGGGGUAAGUCUGAUGUGAAAUCUUCGAGCUUAACUCGGAAAUGGCAUUGGAUACUACUCUGCUAGAGGUUUGGAGGGGGGACUGGAAUUCUCGGUGUAGCAGUGAAAUGCGUAGAUAUCGAGAGGAACACCAGUGGCGAAGGCGAGUCCCUGGACAGCACCUGACACUGAGGCACGAAAGCUAGGGGAGCAAACAGG
rnacentral:rRNA from 1 species